GAUGAACGCUGGCGGCGUGCCUAAUACAUGCAAGUCGAGCGAACAGACGAGGAGCUUGCUCCUCUGACGUUAGCGGCGGACGGGUGAGUAACACGUGGAUAACCUACCUAUAAGACUGGGAUAACUUCGGGAAACCGGAGCUAAUACCGGAUAAUAUAUUGAACCGCAUGGUUCAAUAGUGAAAGACGGUUUUGCUGUCACCUAUAGAUGGAUCCGCGCCGCAUUAGCUAGUUGGUAAGGUAACGGUUUACCAAGACAACGAUGCGUAGCCGACCUGAGAGGGUGAUCGGCCACACUGGAACUGAGACACGGUCCAGACUCCUACGGGAGGCAGCAGUAGGGAAUCUUCCGCAAUGGGCGAAAGCCUGACGGAGCAACGCCGCGUGAGUGAUGAAGGUCUUCGGAUCGUAAAACUCUGUUAUUAGGGAAGAACAAAUGUGUAAGUAACUAUGCACGUCUUGACGGUACCUAAUCAGAAAGCCACGGCUAACUACGUG
rnacentral:rRNA from 1 species